CUCUCCAGUUCAAGUCAGCUGAGCUACCUCAAAAGGCGGUGAGUGCAAAGGAGGUCUGGGCGUCAGGGGAAGCUCUGCCACAUUCCAGACUUUGAAUUGAGUGUUUCCGGUCCUCCCGCAGGCCUCAUUAGCUUCCUCUCCCCUCGCCACCCACCACGGCCCCCCACAGCCACGGAGGAGGAACGGGGAGUGGGAGGACUGGGGACGGUCCCUGUCCCUAGGGCACCACCCACGCCUCUGUGAUUCCUAAUGAGCCCACCCCUGGGGCUCAGACACAGGCUCUGGGAAGGAAACUGGCUUCAUAGAGGGGAGCCCUGGCCGACAGAGAACACAGGCCGAAGCCCCUCGAGCAGGCACCUCCCUGGUAAGGUAGGGAGUCGUCCGAGUCUGCGGUGGGGCAGGGGGGCACCACGGCGCACCCCGACGCGUCUCCCUCUGCCCUCUGCCAGCAGCAGGCCCCCGGCUGUGCCUCUACUGUGGAAAGAGACAGAGACGGCGACCAAAGUCUUGAGUCGCUACAUGAAGAGCCUGACCACCGCCAACCCUAAGCUAAAUGCUGAAGCCGCAUCUUUGGACGGUGCCCGUGGGCCAGGCGGCAGCUUCGGCUUGCUCUGCGGGGACCCCGAGGAAGAGAGGCGUGGCUGCGUACGGAAACACAACACGACAACGGACAAAACAACCCGCUGGUCGGUGCGCAUCCCAGGGAAGGUAACGGAGAAAUGCGGGAGGUCCCAUGAGCACGGCGCCCACAAACUUGCUUGGUAAAGAAUUCAUUUUCUAUUUCCCGUUAGCGACGGGGCCGCCCCGUGUUCUGUGAGGAGUCAGGCAGGGUCUUCCUGCAGCUGUGGCCCCUUCACGGCCCCCGACAGCCUCCCCGCGGCCCCCCGGUUCCCUCUCGCCACGUCGCUUCCGUUCACUGAAACACGGUCCA
rnacentral:lncRNA from 1 species